UACGGAGGGUGCAAGCGUUGUCCGGAAUCACUGGGCGUAAAGGGCGCGUAGGCGGCUCAUGAAGGCUGUGGUGAAAGUCCGGGGCUCAACCUCGGAUCGGCCGUGGCGACUCGUGGGCUGGAGCACUGUAGAGGCGGGUGGAAUUCCGGGUGUAGCGGUGGAAUGCGUAGAGAUCCGGAAGAACACCAGUGGCGAAGGCGGCCCGCUGGCCCGGUACUGACGCUGAGGUGCGAAAGCGUGGGGAGCAAACAGG
rnacentral:rRNA from 1 species